UACGUAGGGGGCGAGCGUUGUCCGGAAUUACUGGGUGUAAAGGGCCCGUAGGCGGUUAUUUAAGUCAGCUGUGAAAGUCCAGGGCUUAACCCUGGAAUUGCAAUUGAAACUGAAUAACUUGAGAUAAGGAGAGGAGAGCGGAAUUCCUAGUGUAGCGGUGAAAUGCGUAGAUAUUAGGAAGAACACCAGUGGCGAAGGCGGCUCUCUGGCCUUACCCUGACGCUGAGGGGCGAAAGCGUGGGUAGCGAACAGGAUUAGAUACC
rnacentral:rRNA from 1 species